CACUGCUCCCUCUGCAGAUGCUGCCGGCAAAACAGGAAAUUACGUCAGGUGGCGGCGCCUGAUUGACGCCAUUUCAUGUCUCCCGGUGGCAUCAAUGGAGGGAGCAGUGCUGUAACAGCACGUAAGUCAGUGCUCCCUCGCAGCCCUCCAUCCCAUCCACCCACCAGUGCCACCUUAACAACAUUAUGGGCUCUGGGCAAAGCAGUGCACUGGGGCCCUGCC